rnacentral:rRNA from 1 species
GAACGAACGCUGGCGGCGCGCCUAAUACAUGCAAGUCGAGCGAGAAGACGUAGCAAUACGUUUGUAAAGCGGCGAACGGGUGAGGAAUACAUGGGUAACCUACCCUCGACGUGGGGAAUAACUAGCCGAAAGGUUAGCUAAUACCGCGUACGCUCCUUGGACUUCGGUUCAGGGAGGAAAGCGAUACCGUGGGUAUCGCGCUCUUGGAUGGGCUCAUGUCCUAUCAGCUUGUUGGUGAGGUAACGGCUCACCAAGGCUUCGACGGGUAGCUGGUCUGAGAGGACGAUCAGCCACACUGGCACUGCGACACGGGCCAGACUCC